rnacentral:tmRNA from 1 species
ACCAUAGCAAUUCUAAACUACUGGCGCUAUAAUGGAAGUGUUGUUUAUACAACUAUAGCGCUAAACCUGCUAUGAAAUAAACUCAGCGGACCCGGGGGCAGUACCCGGCACCUCCACCACAAUAUAAGAAAAUAAUUUGGGGGUGAAAUAGGAUCGACGCGUGCAAUAAAGAUAGUAGCUGUUCUCGGCAUGGUUCCGCCGUUAUCGGACCGAUUUGAUAAAUGCAAACGAUAACUUUGCAUCUGACGAGUAUGCUCUAGCAGCAUAGUUCGUCGGGGUUUCGGUGGGUUCCCUAGCAACAGAAUAACCCACCA